rnacentral:rRNA from 1 species
UACGGAGGGUGCGAGCGUUGUCCGGAUUUAUUGGGUUUAAAGGGUACGUAGGCUGUGCAUUAAGUCAGCGGUGAAAAGCAGUCGCUCAACGAUUGUCGUGCCGUUGAUACUGGUGUGCUAGGGUCCUGUAUGGGUGGGCGGAAUUCCGCAUGUAGCGGUGAAAUGCUCAGAUAUGCGGAGGAACCCCGAAAGCGAAGGCAGCUCACCGGGCAGGUACCGACGCUGAUGUACGAAAGCGCGGGUAGCGAACAGG